GGAUUUUGGAUUUAGGGUUUUGAUUUGAUUGGUUUCUGCUAUCCAGCUAGGCUUUUUUGGGUUUUAGGAACUCAAUCAAAUUAGGGUUAUUUUUCUUCUAAUUCUUGUUCAAAGAAUCAAUCAUAGAAGAGGAGGCAAUGGCGACGAAGUCAUCGGAGGGAGAAGAGGAUGCGAAGUUGACGGGAGGGAACCAGCUGCUGGUAGUCGACGACGAUC
rnacentral:lncRNA from 1 species